GACGAACGCUGGCGGCGCGCUUAACACAUGCAAGUCGAGCGAGAACCAGGGCUUUCGCCCUGGGGAAAGCGGCGAACGGGUGAGUAACACGUGGGUAAUCUGCCCUCGGCAUCGGGAUAGCCCGGGGAAACCCGGAUUAAUACCGAAUAGCCUCCGGAGCCUUCGGGCGCCGGAGCAAAGGUGGCUUCGGCUUCCGGCUGAGGAUGAGCCCGCGGCGGAUUAGCUUGUUGGUGGGGUAACGGCCCACCAAGGCAACGAUCCGUAGCUGGUCUGAGAG
rnacentral:rRNA from 1 species